rnacentral:rRNA from 1 species
CAAUAGCGUCUAUUAAAGUUGUUGCAGUUAAAAAGCUCGUAGUUGGAUUUCUGGUUGAAGCGACCGGUCGGGCGUUGAUUCGUCUGCACUGGAGUCGGUUUUGGCCAUCCUCUAGGAAAGUGCGUCUGGUAUUAAGUUAUCGGGCGUAUGAUCCUGGUCUUUUACUGUGAAAAAAUUAGAGUGUUUAAAGCAGGCCUUCGCCUUGAAUACAUUAGCAUGGAAUAAUAAGAUAGGACUUUGGUCUAUUUUGUUGGUUUGCAGACCGAAGUAAUGAUUAAUAGGGAUAGUUGGGGGUAUUUAUAUUCCGAUGUCAGAGGUGAAAUUCUUAGAUUUUCGGAAGAUAAACUUAUGCGAAAGCAUUUACCAAGGAUGUUUNCAUUAA